CGCUGGCGGCGUGCUUAACACAUGCAAGUCGACCGGAGUCCAUCGGGCUUUGCUUGGUGGUGAGAGUGGCGAACGGGUGAGUAAUGCGUGACCGACCUGCCCCAUACACCGGAAUAGCUCCUGGAAACGGGUGGUAAUGCCGGAUGUUCCAGUUGAUCGCAUGGUCUUCUGGGAAAGCUUUCGCGGAAUGGGAUGGGGUCGCGUCCUAUCAGCUUGACGGCGGGGUAACGGCCCACCGUGGCUUCGACGGGUAGCCGGCCUGAGAGGGCGACCGGCCACAUUGGGACUGAGAUACGGCCCAGACUCCUACGGGAGGCAGCAGUGGGGAAUAUUGCACAAUGGGCGCAAGCCUGAUGCACCGACGCCGCGUGAGGGAUGGAGGCCUUCGGGUUGUAAACCUCUUUUAUCGGGGAGCAAGCGNNANUGANUUNACCCGUUGAAUAAGNACCGGUUAANUACGNGCCANCAGCCGCGG
rnacentral:rRNA from 1 species